rnacentral:rRNA from 1 species
GUGGGGAAUCUUAGACAAUGGGGGAAACCCUGAUCUAGCCAUGCCGCGUGAGCGAUGAAGGCCUUAGGGUUGUAAAGCUCUUUCAGAUGGGAAGAUAAUGACGGUACCAUCAGAAGAAGCCCCGGCUAACUCCGUGCCAGCAGCCGCGGUAAUACGGAGGGGGCUAGCGUUGUUCGGAAUUACUGGGCGUAAAGCGCACGUAGGCGGACCAGAAAGUCAGAGGUGAAAUCCCAGGGCUCAACCUUGGAACUGCCUUUGAAACUCCUGGUCUUGAGGUCGAGAGAGGUGAGUGGAAUUCCGAGUGUAGAGGUGAAAUUCGUAGAUAUUCGGAGGAACACCAGUGGCGAAGGCGGCUCACUGGCUCGAUACUGACGCUGAGGUGCGAAAGCGUGGGGAGCAAACAGGAUUAGAUAACCCGGUAGUCC